CUUUUCUCUGAAUGGAAUUGUUUUUAAUUGAACCAAGCCGUUUUUUUAUAAUGCCAGCAUGUUUAUUGGUGAUCGUCCUGAGUAAUCCUUGCAAUGCACCAUAAUAAAACCUUGAAGCAAUGGCAUGCAGAUUGAGACAUUAGGAGAAAAUACAAAAAUGGGGUCUAGGGUUUACUCUCCAGGCAAGGUUAAUGGAGAGGCUGAAUAUGAUGAAGAAGGUCAACAAUGAUGAGACAGGAGACGAAAGAGCAUUUACAGUUGGAAUAACAUUAUCAUUUUAGAUACAAAAACCCUGAAGUGACGCUGACAUUAUCCAAGCUCUGAUAAUCGAAAUUCUUAUCAGAUGUGAAGAGAUACUAUUUUUGAAAUUUUAAUCCCUGAUGCUGUUUGCUUAUGAUAUCAUCUUCAGAUUGCCACACCAACACCUCAGAUUUCAAGGAAUGCUUUGAGGACUCUGGAAAACAGUAAUCUACAAAAUCCAGUUCCACUGUGUUUCAGUGCCAUGGAAUCCCAUGUAAGGUGCUUGCUGUUAUACAAGCACCUUUCAAGGUAAAUGAGCAAAUGACACAGCUGGAAGAUUUUCGGGGGUGUGGAGCCUGGCUGGACAAAUCGUCACAUUUCAAGCUGGCCAUGUAGCACUAAGCAAUAUGGUGCUUGUUUUGUGCCACCAGGGCCAGGAAGCUCAACAAGUCCUGAUAUAUAUUCACAUUUAGCUGAGUCCACAGCAUAAAUGCUUUUUCUUUCCUCCUAGAAGUGCAGAAUAUUGAUUCAAUUGCUAUCCCUGGGAAGACAGAUGGGAUUAAGAUUUCAUCUAUUUGCCUUUGUAUGGAAAUCUGUUUGCCUUUGUAUAGAAAUCUUUUCUAUCCAAUGGGACAUGGAGGAAUGACCUACAAGGGCAGGCACUGCCCCCUCCGACAGGCCCUGGUGUGUGAUGUUUCCCUCCCUGUGGGAAUGACAAUUUGAAGUGCUGAAAGAAAGCAACUGCCAAUCUAGAAUUCUACAUGCAGUAAAAUUGUCUUCAAAAUUCUAAGUGAAACAAAAAUGUCUUCUGGCAAAAACUGAAAGAAUUCAUCACCAGCAGGCCUGCAAUACAAGAAACACUGAAAGAGCUUCUCUGGAAAGAUUGAAGUAUUUCAGAGAGAAACAUGGAAAUACAGGACAGAAUGAACAACAACAAAUAGGUAUGUUGCUAAAUGAGUAUUGAACACAUAAAAG
rnacentral:lncRNA from 1 species